rnacentral:rRNA from 1 species
UUGCACGGUCAGCAAUGGCAGUGGCGGACGGGUGAGUAACACGUAGGAAUCUAUCCCAGGGCUGGGGGACAACAGCGGGAAACUGCUGCUAAUACCGCAUGAUACCUGAGGGUCAAAGGCGCAAGUCGCCUUGGGAGGAGCCUGCGUCUGAUUAGCUUGUUGGUGAGGUAAAGGCUCACCAAGGCGACGAUCAGUAGCUGGUCUGAGAGGAUGAUCAGCCACAUUGGGACUGAGACACGGCCCAAACUCCUACGGGAGGCAGCAGUGGGGAAUAUUGGACAAUGGGCGAAAGCCUGAUCCUGCAAUGCCGCGUGUGUGAAGAAGGUCUUCGGAUUGUAAAGCACUUUUGGCACGGACGAUGAUGACGGUACCUGCAUAAUAAGCCCCGGCUAACUUCGUG